UCCAUGAUCGAAUUUUAUGUAAUCCAUGAUUGAAUUUUUUGAAAAUUUGUGAUUUUUUUUUUUUAAUCCAUGAUCGAAUUUUUUUUUGUAACCCAUGAUAGAAUUUUUUGAAAAUUUGUGAUUUUUUUUUUAAUCCAUGAUUGAUUUUUUUGAAAAUUUGUUUUUUUUUUUUUUAAUUCCAUAUUAUUCAAAGAGAAAAUGAGAGAGAUGAUGAUUUUGAGGCCACCCUAUCCC
rnacentral:lncRNA from 1 species